CCAAAAUAACCAGGUCAGUAACCAAUUCCUAUUUGACAAAUCCAUAGAAUCAAUCAGUGCACUAAGCUGAUAUCUUUCAUGAAAAGCUGUUUGGGCUUUUCCACCAAACUUGAUAUCAUCCCGGAGUAUCUGCUCCUCACUCCUCAGCCAAGUAGGUCAUAGACAAAGUUAAUUUUAUUUUCCAUUAAUAUUUAAGCUGAAAAGAAGGUCAUAAAAUAGAAGGAGAAAAAAAAAGGAACCUUUCAAUAUUCUAUCUUAACAUAUCACCUAACUACUUCUACAACUUCCAAAUCACAGAAGAGAGAAUAAUACUGCAAUAAAUAAUCCUAAUACUACAAUUUCUGCAUAGAUAAAUCUAUCUGCUGCAAUAAGUGAUUAAGAGAAGCCAUAAUCUAGAAGUUCAAUUCCAUUCUAUAUCUAUAAGAGUUCAACGAAUUUCACUGUAUUGCUAGAACACUGAUUACUUAAGAAUGUGCAAUUCUAGGGUUCCAAAAACAAUUCACCAAACAGAAUAAACAAACAUGCAUACAAUAUGAGAGGAAAUAGAUUAAACCAGCGUUACAAUGGUGAAACUGAAAAAGUUUCAGAAAGCCUCUUCAAGCUAUAUAUAUAAAAU
rnacentral:lncRNA from 1 species